CCCUACGGGGGGCAGCAGUGGGGAAUAUUGCACAAUGGGGGAAACCCUGAUGCAGCAACGCCGCGUGAGUGAAGAAGUAUUUCGGUAUGUAAAGCUCUAUCAGCAGGGAAGAAAAUGACGGUACCUGACUAAGAAGCCCCGGCUAACUACGUGCCAGCAGCCGCGGUAAUACGUAGGGGGCAAGCGUUAUCCGGAUUUACUGGGUGUAAAGGGAGCGUAGAUGGUGCAGCAAGUCUGAUGUGAAAGGUCGGGGCCCAACCCCGGGACUGCAUUGGAAACUGUUGAACUGGAGUACAGGCGAGGUA
rnacentral:rRNA from 1 species